GGAAUGAACGGCAAUAGCUGGUUGCACUAACAAUAACUUAGUGCAAAAUCGACUCUGUCGAAUAAAAUUCUAGAUAGAAUUAUGAUAAUGACAUUAUCUAUCUAUGUGUCUUGACCAAAUUACGUGCCAGCAGUCGCGGUAAUACGUAAAAGACUAGUGUUAUUCAUCUUUAAUAGGUUUAAAGGGUACUUAGACGGUAAAUCAAGCCCUAAUAGGGAACUAAUAUACUAGAGUUUGAUGUAAGGAAGCAUGAAAGUACUGUUGGUGUAGAGAUAAAAUUCUAUUAUACCAAAUAUGGCACAGGUUUAGGCGAAAGCAUCCUCUUAUGUAAUAACUGACGUUGAAGGACGAAGGCUUUGUGUCUCGAACAGGAUUAGAUACCCCAGUAGUCUAAGCAGACAAUGAUGAAUGUCAUAGAUUAGAUUUAAUUUAUUCUAUAAAUGAAAGUGUAAGCAUUCCACCUCAAGAGUAAUUUGGCAACAUUGGAACUGAAAUCAUUAGACCGUUUCUGAAACCAGUAGUGAAGUAUGUUGUUUAAUUAGAUGGUACGCAAAAAACCUUACCACAAUUUGAAUUA
rnacentral:rRNA from 1 species